CCGAGUUUUCACUCAUCAACCCUGUGAACAACCUAAACGUUGCUUCGGCGGGAAUAGACGGCCCCGUGAAACGGGCCGCCCCCGCCAGAGGACCCUUAACUCUGUUUCUAUAAUGUUUCUUCUGAGUAAAACAAGCAAAUAAAUUAAAACUUUCAACAACGGAUCUCUUGGCUCUGGCAUCGAUGAAGAACGCAGCGAAAUGCGAUAAGUAAUGUGAAUUGCAGAAUUCAGUGAAUCAUCGAAUCUUUGAACGCACAUUGCGCCCGCCAGUAUUCUGGCGGGCAUGCCUGUUCGAGCGUCAUUACAACCCUCAGGCCCCCGGGCCUGGCGUUGGGGAUCGGCGGAGCCCCCCGUGGGCACACGCCGUCCCCCAAAUACAGUGGCGGUCCCGCCGCAGCUUCCAUCGCGUAGUAGCUAACACCUCGCGACUGGAGAGCGGCGCGGCCACGCCGUAAAACACCCAACUCUUCUGAAGUGACCUCGAAUCAGGU
rnacentral:rRNA from 1 species